UACGGAGGAUGCAAGCGUUAUCCGGAUUUAUUGGGUUUAAAGGGUGCGCAGGUUGUUUGAUAAGUCAGUGGUGAAAGUCUGUCGCUUAACGGUAGGAUUGCCAUUGAUACUGUUAGACUUGAAUAUGGAUGAGGUAGGCGGAAUGUGUAGUGUAGCGGUGAAAUGCUUAGAUAUUACACAGAACACCAAUUGCGUAGGCAGCUUACUGAGCCGACACUGACGCUGAGGCACGAAAGCGUGGGGAUCAAACAGGAUUA
rnacentral:rRNA from 1 species